UGUAGUUCUUCACCGGCAGCACACAGGACAAGGGGAUGCCCAGAGACUCGCUCAACUCCCGGGCCUGGAAGACGACAAAAGAAAUGACCAUGGAUGAAGUCAUCGUUAUCAGGUGCAAUACAUGCAUAAUUUCAUUCCACGCCCACAAGGCGGCUCUCCUGAGGAAUCUGCACUUCCACAACGCUUCUGAAUGGCAGGAAAGGUCUCGUCCUGCAUGGCGACAGUGCUGUUGGAACCCAGCACGGUGAUGCCCUGCUCUUUCUGUCUGUCCAGGGUCUGCUGGUACCACUCCUGCAUCUGCACCGACUCGAAGUGUCCGUCCAGGUCAUCUUGGCAUCCAGUAGUGCGUCCAGCGUCUGCCUCAUCAGCUCCUCUUUCUCUGGACUGUCUCCGCUGAUGAUGUAACAGGAGGAGCGAAUGCAUCUGAAGAAGUCCACGCU